rnacentral:rRNA from 1 species
GUCCGGAAUUAUUGGGCGUAAAGAGCUCGUAGGCGGUUUGUCACGUCUGCUGUGAAAUUCCGAGGCUCAACCUCGGACUUGCAGUGGGUACGGGCAGGCUAGAGUGCGGUAGGGGAGAUGGGAAUUCCUGGUGUAGCGGUGGAAUGCGCAGAUAUCAGGAGGAACACCAAUGGCGAAGGCACAUCUCUGGGCCGUAACUGACGCUGAGGAGCGAAAGCGUGGGGAGCGAACAGGAUUAGAUACCCUGGUAGUCCACGCCGUAAACGGUGGGUGCUAGCUGUGGGCCACAUUCCACGUGGUCCGUGACGAAGUUAACACAUUAAGCACCCCGCCUGGGGAGUACGGCCGCAAGGCUAAAACUCAAAGGAAUUGACGGGGGCCCGCACAAGCGGCGGAGCAUGCGGAUUAAUUCGAUGCAACGCGAAGAACCUUACCAAGGCUUGACAUAUAGAGGAAAAGUGCAGAAAUGUACUCCCCGCAAGGUCUCUAUACAGGUGGUGCAUGGUUGUCGUCAGCUCGUGUCGUGAGAUGUUGGGUUAAGUCCCGCAACGAGCGCAACCCUCGUCCUAUGUUGCCAGCACGUAAUGGUGGGAACUCAUGGGAUACUGCCGGGGUCAACUCGGAGGAAGGUGGGGAUGACGUCAAAUCAUCAUGCCCCUUAUGUCUUGGGCUUCACGCAUGCUACAAUGGCCGGUACAGAGGGCUGCAAUACCGUAAGGUGGAGCGAAUCCCAAAAAGCCGGUCUCAGUUCGGAUUGAGGUCUGCAACUCGACCUCAUGAAGUCGGAGUCGCUAGUAAUCGUAGAUCAGCAACGCUACGGUGAAUACGUUCCCGGGCCUUGUACACACCGCCCGUCAAGUCACGAAAGUCGGUAACACCCGAAGCCGGUGGCCUAACCGUAAGGAGGGAGCCGUCGAAGGUGGGAUUGGUGAUUGGGACUAAGUCGUAACAAGGUAGCC